UACGUAGGUGGCAAGCGUUGUCCGGAUUUAUUGGGUUUAAAGGGUGCGUAGGCGGCUUUGUAAGUCAGUGGUGAAAUAUGGCAGCUCAACUGUCAGGGUGCCAUUGAUACUGCAGAGCUUGAGUACAGAUGAGGUAGGCGGAAUUGACGGUGUAGCGGUGAAAUGCUUAGAUAUCGUCAAGAACACCGAUAGCGAAGGCAGCUUACUGGGCUGUAACUGACGCUGAGGCACGAAAGUGUGGGGGAUCAAACAGG
rnacentral:rRNA from 1 species